UCCCAUAUUGUCUAGUGGUUAGGAUACCUGGCUCUCACCCAGGAGGCCCGGGUUCAAUUCCCUGUAUGGGGA
rfam:Daphnia pulex DAPPTscaffold_474_Cont9725, whole genome shotgun sequence.